rnacentral:rRNA from 1 species
CCUACGGGUGGCAGCAGUGAGGAAUAUUGGUCAAUGGCCGAGAGGCUGAACCAGCCAAGUCGCGUGAGGGAAGACGGCCCUACGGGUUGUAAACCUCUUUUGUCGGGGAGCAAAGCGAGUCACGUGUGACUCAUUGAGAGUACCCGAAGAAAAAGCAUCGGCUAACUCCGUGCCAGCAGCCGCGGUAAUACGGGGGAUGCGAGGGGUAUCCGGAGUUAUUGGGUUAAACGGGUGCGCAGGCGGAGGUGCAAGUCAGCGGUCAACUUGCGGGGCUCAACCCCGUACUGCCGUUGAAACUGCAUCCCUUGAGUGCGCGAGAUGUAUGCGGAAUGCGUAGUGUAGCGGUGAAAUGCAGAGAUAUCACGCAGACCUCCGCUUGCGAAGGCAGCAUACCGGCGCGCAACUGACGCUCAUGCACGAAAGCGUGGGUAUCGAACAGGAUUAGAUACCCCUGUAGUC